AUCCGGCUGACGAGUCUGAAAUAGAACGAAACGUGCGUUCUGAAU
rnacentral:hammerhead_ribozyme from 1 species